GGCGUGUAAAUGCAGAACUGGAGGCAAAAACAGCUGAGCUGGUUCGACAAGCUGAAGAAGUAAUCAGGGCUAUUAUCUGAAGGGAAGCUCAGUCUGCAAUCGGAAACUAAGCUGAAGACCAAAAACAGUGGUCC